rnacentral:lncRNA from 1 species
UCACAACCAUCUGUAAUGGGAUCCGAUGUCCUCUUCUGCUGUGUUUGAGUGCACUCGUCAUAUAAAUAAGAUAAAGAAAUACAUUAAAAAAAAAAGACCUAAAUAAAUAAAUAAAUAAAUAGAUAAAUAAAUAAAUAGAUAAAUAAACCAUAAGUCAAAGUACAUGUAUUUAUGGGAUACAAAGAGAUGCCAUGUCAUAGGUACACAAUGUGGAAUUACUGAAUCAACCUAAUCCACAUACCCAUCAUUGUAUUUACUGUUCAUUCCUCCUGUCUAAUUGAAUGAUUGUAUCUUUUGGUCUGUAACACCUCCAUUUCUUCCUAUUCCUGGUCUUUGGUAAAAAACAUUCUCAUCUCUGCUUUUUAUGAGAUCUCUUGUUUUAGAGUUUACAUGUAAAUGAGAAUUCUUUUUGUUUUUCUAGGUUUUGGGGUGACUAGUUUAAUGUGUUCACUUUGUUGAGCCGUGACAUUAAUGAUCAUUAAUAGAAGUUUAUGUGCACGUGUAUUUGGAGGAUAAUUAACUUUUCUUUUUCUUUUCCUAUUUUACAGUUUUUGAGACAGGGUUUCUACAUAGCCCUGGCCAUUUUGGAAGUCACUAUGUAGACUAGGCUCACAGAGAUCUUAUCUGCCUGCCUCUUCCUCCUGAGUUCUGGGGUUAAAGGCAUGUGCUACCACACCUGCAGAAGAAGUUAACAUUUAAAUUCCUGGACUUUGAGUAAAGCAUAUCAGCCAUUGUGAUGUGGAUUGGUGUCAUUUAAUCAAUUGAGGGGCUAAUUAGAAUGAAGAAGCUGGUCUGCCCUGAGCACAUGGAAUUCUCCAGAAGACGGUCUUUGAAUAUCAUUGUCAACACUGGCUUUUUCAUUGUCUCUUGGCAGACAGAUGGCUUUUGAAGUCCAUUAGUUCUUUUGAGUCUCCAGGCUGAAUAUCUUGGAACUGACAAGAUACUCCACAAGAGAAAUGGGGUUCAAAUUGGCUAUGUAACAAAUACAACAGAAUAAAUAUCUUCACCUAUGAGC